AACGAACGCUGGCGGCAUGCCUAACACAUGCAAGUCGAACGAGACCUUCGGGUCUAGUGGCGCACGGGUGCGUAACGCGUGGGAACCUGCCCUUAGGUUCGGAAUAACUCCCCGAAGGGGGUGCUAAUACCGGAUAAUGUCUUCGGACCAAAGAUUUAUCGCCUUUGGAUGGGCCCGCGUUGGAUUAGCUAGUUGGUAGGGUAAAAGCCUCCCAAGGCGACGAUCCAUAGCUGGUCUGAGAGGAUGAUCAGCCACACUGGGACUGAGACACGGCCCAGACUCCUACGGGAGGCAGCAGUGGGGAAUAUUGGACAAUGGGCGAAAGCCUGAUCCAGCAAUGCCGCGUGAGUGAUGAAGGCCUUAGGGUUGUAAAGCUCUUUUACCCGGGAUGAUAAUGACAGUACCGGGAGAAUAAGCUCCGGCUAACUCCGUG
rnacentral:rRNA from 1 species